rnacentral:rRNA from 1 species
UACGUAUGGGGCAAGCGUUAUCCGGAUUUACUGGGUGUAAAGGGAGCGUAGGCGGCAGGGCAAGCCUGAUGUGAAAGCCCGGGGCUCAACCCCGGGACUGCAUUGGAAACUGUCGCGCUCGAGUGUCGGAGAGGUAAGUGGAAUUCCUAGUGUAGCGGUGAAAUGCGUAGAUAUAUGGAAGAACACCAGUGGCGAAGGCGGCUCUCUGGUCUGUAACUGACGCUGAGGCUCGAAAGCAUGGGUAGCGAACAGG